rnacentral:lncRNA from 1 species
AGAAGCCAUCUUUGCUCCACUGGUCCCAGGUGUGGGCUCCAGAUCCAGAGAGCCAUCAGGGUUCACCAAGAUGAACACUGAGCGGGCCCUUGUAGGUCUGAGGCAGAGGAAAGCGGCAACAGCAGCAGCGGCUCGGUGCCUACCCCCCUACCCCCUCAGUGGUCUUCAGCCCAGAAGCCAAAAGCACAGCUACUCCUUUGGGAUGCAGUAGAUUGCCUCCUGGUCCAGGUAUUUGUGGAAGAAGGAAUAUCUUGGUGCUAUCGAAGAGUGCGUUGCUAAAGAGCAGACGGCAUCAUCCGCUGCUUAAGGAGGCCUGAUAAUUGCGGUGCUGGUUGGUUCUCAGGGUAAUGAUGUCUUCUGGGCUUCUCUGACAUUUCGGAGUGCUGGCAUUAGGAGUCUCCAUUCAGUGCAUGUUUACGAUAGACAGAGGUAGGCAGACAGCGACUGAGUCUGUUGGGUGGAUUCAGAGCUAGUAACAUAUUUGUACCACUUCUCAGGUUUCAAAGGGGUAGCAGAGGGUGAAGCAAGAAGUUAGAUGGAAGAUUUUGUUGAUUUUCUUGGCCAGGUGGAUAGUCCAAAGUACUUUGAUAAACGGGUUAAAUUUAUAUCUUUUGUUUAAAUUAUCUGAACAAAGUCUAAAUUUGAUCUGUAUAUCUGCACAACUUUUCUACUUAAGGCUGGCCUAGAACAGGUCCAAUUGUAAUUAUGUUAUAAAUUGUGAUUUUUCACCUACAAUCUCCAUAAUUUCCAUCACACACACACACACACACACACACACACACACACACACACACACACACACACACACACUCUUCAGCUAUCAUGGCAUGUAAGUGUUGUUACAGUAUAGCAAAGUACAAAGAAUGGAGAAUUAAGGCUCUUUGGAAAAUUUCUAUUUAAUCUUAAUUAUUCUAGCCUCUAACCUCUUAUUUCUCCAUUGCCAGAAUUGUGGGUGUUAAAUUUGGAAAUAAUGCACGUAAAGGACUUGGUGCAGAGUCUGUAAAUAACACAUCUUAAAUACAUGGUAAAUUUUGUUAUUGCUAUUGUUGCUAUUUUGGUGUAUCGUUUAGUAUUUGAGAGAGUUAAAAGAAAAGGGAAAUGUUUACUUCUUAGCUAUACAAGGUAUCGUGAGAAAGAUUAACUAGGCACAUAGAGUAAAUGCUGCCCUGGCAUACGUGGGUAUGAGCUUCAGUCUGACUUCCGACUGCAGAUCAUUUAUGUGGUAUUUACUUUACUCCUCUCAAAUGAAUAUAUAUGCCAGUCAUGUUGGUGACAUCUGUGGUCUGAUAAGAGUUCUACCCUAGUUUGUGAGAAGGGCACAGGACUGAGACAUGGUCAACAUUUGAUCCCACUGAUAAGGCGCUGACCAAGUCAGUCUUAAAAAAAGAAGUUCUACUCAAAAUAGUAAGGACAUUAACUAUGUUCAGUUAUCCAUACCUAAAUAAUUCAUAAAGGGAUAGUCUCUUUCACCCCCAGACUCUUCAUAAACCUUAUUCACAAAUCUGUAAUGACUGCUACUGACUUCCUGUUCAGCUUCCCAGAUGGUAAUAGCUUGCUCAGAUUUUAAUAUAUUAGCAUACUUUUAAAAAUGCAAAUUAUAGUUUUUACAGAUUCCUUAUAAUUUUCUGUAAACACAAUCCAUCCAUCUCUGCACGGCUGUUAUCUUCAUUCCCAGCAAUCACACACAUUCGUUCUUUCUCAUUUAGCUUACCUCAUGAAUGAGGCCAUGCAGCUCAACUCUGCAGAAACUGAAUGGGUGUGUGUGUGGGGGGGGCGAGAACGCUUGCUUUGUUUCCGGUGUUAGGGGACACCAUUGCUUGUUUGAUGACUUACUGUAGGCUUUCAUUUCUCGCCACUAAGACACAUGCUCUACGUUGGGUUUCCUUGUGUUCCUCGUCACCAAGAGUGUUGUUUUUUUUUUUCCCUUUUUAAAUCACGAGUGAUUGCUAAGCUUUGUGAAAUGAUCUUGCUUCCACUGAAACAAGUAAGAGCUUAAAUAAAGCUGUUAGCACAGCAAAUUAUGAUGAUUGAUUUUCACUGUUAAACGAGCCCUGCAAUCCUAGGACAAAUGUCACUUUGCUACGAUGUACUUAUCCUUUACAUAGUAUGAUGCAUGACUUGUUAGCAUUUCGUUAAGGAUUUGUAAAUCAAUGCGAAUGAGAGAUAUUAGUAUAUGAUUUUUCUUGUAAUGAUUUUGGUACUGUUACCAGGGUACUGCUGGCUUCGUAAAAUGGGUUGGUGAGAAUUCCUUCUCCAGUAUAUUCUGAAACUUCGAGUAAGAUUGUUAGGAGUUCUCUUUAAAUAUUGGAUGCAAUUCACCAAUGUAGCUAUUAGGCCCAGACAAUCUUAAUUACUAACUCAUUUUUUAAAAAAGUGUCUAGGACUAUAUAUAUUUUUUAUUUCUUUUGUCAAUUUUGGUAAGCUAUGGACCCCCAUCCCCAAUUGGUUAUUUUAUCUUAGUUAUCAAGACAAUUGGGAUAAUGUUUAUUAUAAUGUCAUGGUAUGCAAUUGUUUUUCAUUCAUGAAAACUUCAGAGACGUUAUUCUUUCAUUUGCUAUAUUCAUGAUUUAUAUUUUCUCCUUUUCAUCAUUGAUUUAUUU